CCAGUGCCGUAGUGCAUGUUAUAUGGAAAUCACAGUGAAUUCAAGACCAAGCUCAAAGCCACAUCCUGUCCAAAGCCAUCCCUGAUCCCAUCCUUUCUCUCCCAUCUCCCCUGCCCCAGUCUGUAUCUUUGCCUUCUGAAACACUGAGAGUAUUGCUCAGUGCCUCUCAGAUGGCAGAUAUACUGUCUUAUAUCCUGAUUCAUGUCUUCUUCCUGUACUAAACUUGACUUUCUCAAGGUAUGGACCACACCUGGCAGUGAAUGCUUCAGACUGGCAGGGCUCAGUAAACGCUGAUUGAAUGAGUAAGUAAAUCAGUGGCUGGGUGCACUGAUACAUACUUUUGGGUGCACACAGCCCUGUCACAUCCACCAUAAGCUUUUUCUUUGUUUCCUUACAGACCUAUGGAAAUUCGAUGAUUGUCCUAAGGUUAUAUAGGUUUGAGUUUUGAACCCAAAUCCUUAUAUUUUAAUUCCAUGGCUUGUCUCAUCUGUAUCAUCAGGUCUAACUUGAUUAUCAAAACUUGCAAAAUAGCAGUUUCUGUCAGUUGACUUUGAUAAGGGCAUAUAUUGUCAAUGCCAUAAUUCAAGUUUGUCCAAUUCCAGGUAUUUUUGUGGGUUAGGGCUUUGAUCCAGAGCUCAUGAGAGUCUCCCGUACCUCAUCCUGCAGUAGAGUCUUACUGUACUCCAGGUGGUGCCUCUCCAAAAUGGAAGAUCCAUGAAGCUUUGCCAAUGGAGUUGCAGAUCUAGGAAGAAAAGGCUAUGCCAGCAUUAUAAGUACUUACGGAGUCCCUGGGUGGAGCAAACGGCUAAGCACUAGACUACUAUCUGAAAGGUUGGUGGUUCGAAACUAUCCAGAGGCACCUCGGAAGACAGACCUGUCCACCUGCUUCCGAAAGGUCACAGGCUUGAAAAUCCUAUACAGCAGUUCUACUCUGCACGUGUAGGGUCGCCAUGUGUCAGAACUGACUCAACGGCCACUAAAAACAUAGCUGCUUAUUACACAUAAGUCCAUACAAUAUAGAAUCUUUACUGUGGGCAGGAAUAUUUUUUCAUCAUCUCACAUCUGCAAAGUGGUCAAAAACAUCAUCUUGUAAAGGGUUUUUUAGAUUGAGAAGAUGAGAAAAUGCUCUUUUUAAAGAAACCAGUCCUUAAAAAAAUCUUAUUUGCUGAAUGCAUAAAUGAGUGAAUUAUUUAAAGCAGGAAAUCUAGCUCAUCCCCUGUAUCUAAAAUCUUUCAAAUCCCUGGAGCUUACUGUGGUGGAGUAUGAUUUAUAGAAGGUGUAGCAAACCUGUUGAAGCUGUAGGUUAUUUACAUAGGAAGUGUUCAUUAAGAAUUUCCAGGCACCGAAAUGAAAAUCACCAUAAAGUAACAUUUCUUUCCUCUUCCAAGACAGUGACAUAAACUUAAGCUUCCCAUACGCUAAUGACUAAAUCACAACUUUAUGUAAGUGGUAACUUCGGUUUUUGGCGUCCUAUCUUUCGCUGGAAACUCUAUAGGGCAGUUCUACUCUGUCCUAUAGCGUCGCUAUGAGUUGGAAUCGACUCGACGGCAGCGGGUUUGGUUUGGUUUUGCAGUCUUUCUUCAAGCCUUCCUGAUGGAGCUGGGGGAAGCGAUAUUGAAAAUUGAAAGGUGAAAGGAAGAACAGGUGGGAAGGGGUUGAGGCCAACGGUCUAUACAGAUUUAUGUGAAGACUCUGUCAUGGAAAUAUGGAAUAAUAAUUUUAAGGGAGAAGGAAAUCAGAAACUUGGGUGGCAGCUUUAGUAGAGAAGCCUCAUUUUAGUUCAGAGACAACAGAAAUUUAGGGAGGGAGGAGUCAUUGACAGGUCAUUGACAGGGCUGGUAAACCAAAUACUCUAGUUAGGGAAUGAUUAGACUAUGUCUGGUCAAUAUUAUAAUGGAUUCUAAUUUUAGCUAAUAUUUGAAUACCUACUCUGUGCUUCCUACAUAGGACCAAGAGGAAGAUGACAGUGAUGUUUACAUGGAGGGCCAGAUGAAGAAGGGUUUGGCAGAAGCAAAAGGACCAGGGAAGUGAAAGGCUCCUUCAAACAUCCACCAGUCUGUGUCAGCAUGGUGGUGUGUGCUCACUUACUUCAUCUGAAACAAAUUAUUGGUGCCUCUGUGGUCAAUGUCAUGGCAAAAAGCAGCAGCAAGCAUGGCAAAGGCUUCAAGAUCCGUAUAGUAUUUCUUUAGUCUUCCUGUCUAAAAAAUAUAUAUAAAUUUACUUGGAUUAAUACACCUUUACACCAAGUACAGAAUUGGGCAACAUUUUGUUCUGUUAUAUCUAAGGUCGCUGAGUUGGAGCCAACUCGAUGUCAACUAACAACAACACACCAAAUGCCAUGAAGCCUGCAACAGAGAAGGGAACCCACCAUGCUUUUAGAGCAAGCUGGCUUUAUUUCUUGAAGAAGUUCUCAGAGUUGUGACUCCCAGGCUACACUUGCAGUCACAGGUGAGCCAAUGAAAUAAUACUGUAAAACAGCUAAGGAGCCCUGGCACACAGUGGUUAAGCUCUCAUCUGCUAACCAAAAGGCCCCACUGAAGAAAGACCUGGCAAUCAGCUUCUGUAAAGAUUCCAGCCAAGAAAACCCUAUGGAGCAGUUCUACUGUGUCACAUGGAGUCACUAUGAGUCGGAAAUAGCUUGAUGUCACCUAACAACAACAAAACACAGUUUAGAGUCAACUGUUUUAAGUCUGUGAUCCUGAGAGGUUGAUAAAAAUAAAGACGAAGUGCAAUUAAUAACUUUUGUGUGUGGUCUUGUGACUCCCACCCUGGUGAUUGGGCGGGGCUGUGCAAGUAAGAUCAUUGUGGCCAACCGAUGGGAUUGGUCAGUUUUGCCUUAAAAGAGAGCCAAUUUCAGAGCAGAGAGAAGAGCCCACCACCACCCAAAGAAGGAGAG